rnacentral:lncRNA from 1 species
GAGCAGCAUAUACGUGAUUUAAUCACAUUAUUUUUUAGAGUAAUCUCCUUUGACUGCCUCUCCUAUAGAACAACUAUGGCCGGGUUGAGAGACGCUAGCGAUAAUACAUACUAUGUUCCUAAAGUCUUUUGUUAUACUAUAUACGUAUAUAUGUGUAUGUUACAACCAUGAGACGGCUGUUCAUCCUUUCGUUAAGAAUAUUCUCUAUGUUUAUAGAAUACAUGGUAUAUCGCUUCAUAAACAAAUUAACGCACAAGUCUUUUCUUAAUACCAUUCGUUUAAAACACUUAGGAUUGUAUUGAACUUAUAAUUUUUGCGUUCGUUGCACGAUGUAUUAUUAUAUACUUCGAAUGAAUAUUGCCUGCUUUACAAUCAUUGAAAGAAUUGAAAAUACACACAAAAAAGAUAAUAAUAAAUAACCUGUUCUUCGGUAAUGUUAUUUCAUCAAUGUAAUAAUAAUCAUGGGUACGGUUGAAAGAAAAUAUUCUAUCGUUGUUAUGUUUCUUGAUGAAUAUAAUAUAUAUAUAUUUGAUCAUGUUUUCAUAUAUAAAAGCCUGCACAAUUAUAAAUAUAAAACUUUUUUUGUACAUUCAUACAUUGUCUUAUUGUAUUACUUUGUUAUAAAUGUAUGGAUGGAACAAGCGUUAUUAAUUUUGUUAAUUAAUAGUUUCCUGACAUGUUCUGGAAACUUUUAAUUGUUGUAUAGACUGAACGGAAAUUAAAAGACUUAUUAACGGUUUCCUACUUUUUAAGUAAUCUCAUCUUUGUAAAGAUUUAAAUAAGAAAGAAAGAGAGAUUAAUUUUUUUGUUAGAAUACAUAAAUCAUAUUUAUAUAUGCGCGCUAAAAAGCAGCUACGUAUUCUAUAUCGAAUACAUUAUAGAUCUUUUAUGUAUGUAUAUACCUCAUAACAACUAGGGUAUAUUUGUUGUUACACAUUGUUAUUUAUUUAAGUUACGAAGAGAAUUGUAUCGGCUAAUUUGUUUUUCAAGUUUCAGUCUAUUAUUGGAAAGGCUUGUUAAUUAUGAUUAACUGAGUUUUUAAAUAUUAUGCAGGAUCAUAUAUCACAUAAUUUAAAUCAGAACUAAGUUACAGAUUGAUGAUAUUUAUAAUAAUUUUUCCAAGUACAAUAUUGCGAUGUCUAACAACAUUGCUGUCUUUAAAUAUAAAAGGGAAGGAAGGUAUUUUAUAUAGCUUUCCUUAUUUUUAAAUAAUCGUGUUGUAAAAUGUCGCGAUAAAUAUUUAUGUAAAAGAUAGAUAUGUUUCAGUGAGUCUUUCUAACUUACAACCAUCCUUCGUGGGUAUCAAAGCUAUCAUUAUAUUUUUUUCCAAUCUGUUUAUACCUUUUUAUUACUACGUAAGAAUACAUACUUGAAAUAUGGAGUAUGAUCAUUAAUUUGACAUUAUGUAUCGUGGAAAGGGUAAUGCUACAUGUAUGUAGAUAUAAGAAAUUAUCGGUACUGUUAUGUUUAAAUUGGUACCGCAAUAUGUUUAAUUAUGUAGAUUACAUUUUUUAUGAAUAUGAACAAUAACACAUACGUAA